GACAGAGGAUGCAAGCGUUAUCCGGAAUGAUUGGGCGUAAAGCGUCUGUAGGUGGCUUUUUAAGUCUGCCGUCAAAUCCCAGGGCUUAACCCUGGACAGGCGGUGGAAACUACCAAGCUGGAGUACGGUAGGGGCAGAGGGAAUUUCCGGUGGAGCGGUGAAAUGCGUAGAGAUCGGAAAGAACACCAACGGCGAAGGCGGGUUGCUGGGCCGACACUGACGCUGAUGCGCGAAAGCCAGGGGAGCGAACGGG
rnacentral:rRNA from 1 species